UACAGAGGGUGCGAGCGUUGUUCGGAAUUAUUGGGCGUAAAGGGCGCGUAGGCGGUGCGGUAAGUCACCUGUGAAAUCUCCUGGCUCAACUGGGAGCUUGCAGGCGAAACUGCCGGUGCUGGAGUGUGGGAGAGGUGAGUGGAAUUCCGGUGUAGCGGUGAAAUGCGUAGAUAUCGGGAGGAACACCUGUGGCGGAAGGCGGCGACCUGGACGGACAUUGACGCUGAGACGGCGAAAGCGUGGGGAGCAAACAGG
rnacentral:rRNA from 1 species